GCGGGGAUAGUUCAGUUGGGAGAACGUCAGACUGAAGCUUCUAACUUCAUUCAUCAAAUCUGAAGGCCGUGCGUUCGAUCCGCACUCACCGCA